ACGCACAUUUCAUUGGCCUGCUUUCCUGACAAGUGACGAGCAGUGUUAUUUCUGAUGUGCUAAAGAAAUAGCUGAAGGCUAAUUAGCAGCAUAGCUUUUCUGUAGUUACUGCUGCCAGUCUCCUUCAUACAAAG
rnacentral:snoRNA from 1 species